CCCAUAAAGUUGUUCUCAGUUCGGAUUGUAGUCUGCAACUCGACUACAUGAAGCUGGAAUCGCUAGUAAUCGUAGAUCAGCAUGCUACGGUGAAUACGUUCCCGGGUCUUGUACACACCGCCCGUCACACCACGAGAGUUUGUAACACCCGAAGCCGGUGGAGUAACCUUUUAGGAGCUAGCCGUCGAAGGUGGGACAAAUGAUUGGGGUGAAGUCGUAACAAGGUAGCCGUAUCGGAAGGUGCGGCUGGAUCACCUCCUUUCUAAGGAUAUAUUCGGAACAUCUUCUUCAGAAGAUGCGGAAUAACGUGACAUAUUGUAUUCAGUUUUGAAUGUUUAUUUAACAUUCAAAUAUUUUUUGGUUAAAGUGAUAUUGCUUAUGCGAGCGCUUGACAAUCUAUUCUUUUUAAAGAAAGCGGUUGUCAGACAAUGCAUUAAGAAAAAUUAAAGCGGAGUUUACUUUUGUAAAUGAGCAUUUGAUUUUUUGAAAAUAAAGCAGUAUGCGAGCGCUUGACUAAAAAGAAAUUGUACAUUGAAAACUAGAUAAGUAAGUAAAAUAUAGAUUUUACCAAGCAAAACCGAGUGAAUAAAGAGUUUUAAAUAAGCUUGAAUUCAUAAGAAAUAAUCGCUAGUGUUCGAAAGAACACUCACAAGAUUAAUAACGCGUUUAAAUCUUUUUAUAAAAGAACGUAACUUCAUGUUAACGUUUGACUUAUAAAAAUGGUGGAAACAUAGAUUAAGUUAUUAAGGGCGCACGGUGGAUGCCUUGGCACUAGAAGCCGAUGAAGGACGUUACUAACGACGAUAUGCUUUGGGGAGCUGUAAGUAAGCUUUGAUCCAGAGAUUUCCGAAUGGGGAAACCCAGCAUGAGUUAUGUCAUGUUAUCGAUAUGUGAAUACAUAGCAUAUCAGAAGGCACACCCGGAGAACUGAAACAUCUUAGUACCCGGAGGAAGAGAAAGAAAAUUCGAUUCCCUUAGUAGCGGCGAGCGAAACGGGAAGAGCCCAAACCAACAAGCUUGCUUGUUGGGGUUGUAGGACACUCUAUACGGAGUUACAAAGGACGACAUUAGACGAAUCAUCUGGAAAGAUGAAUCAAAGAAGGUAAUAAUCCUGUAGUCGAAAAUGUUGUCUCUCUUGAGUGGAUCCUGAGUACGACGGAGCACGUGAAAUUCCGUCGGAAUCUGGGAGGACCAUCUCCUAAGGCUAAAUACUCUCUAGUGACCGAUAGUGAACCAGUACCGUGAGGGAAAGGUGAAAAGCACCCCGGAAGGGGAGUGAAAUAGAACCUGAAACCGUGUGCUUACAAGUAGUCAGAGCCCGUUAAUGGGUGAUGGCGUGCCUUUUGUAGAAUGAACCGGCGAGUUACGAUUUGAUGCAAGGUUAAGCAGUAAAUGUGGAGCCGUAGCGAAAGCGAGUCUGAAUAGGGCGUUUAGUAUUUGGUCGUAGACCCGAAACCAGGUGAUCUACCCUUGGUCAGGUUGAAGUUCAGGUAACACUGAAUGGAGGACCGAACCGACUUACGUUGAAAAGUGAGCGGAUGAACUGAGGGUAGCGGAGAAAUUCCAAUCGAACCUGGAGAUAGCUGGUUCUCUCCGAAAUAGCUUUAGGGCUAGCCUCAAGUGAUGAUUAUUGGAGGUAGAGCACUGUUUGGACGAGGGGCCCCUCUCGGGUUACCGAAUUCAGACAAACUCCGAAUGCCAAUUAAUUUAACUUGGGAGUCAGAACAUGGGUGAUAAGGUCCGUGUUCGAAAGGGAAACAGCCCAGACCACCAGCUAAGGUCCCAAAAUAUAUGUUAAGUGGAAAAGGAUGUGGCGUUGCCCAGACAACUAGGAUGUUGGCUUAGAAGCAGCCAUCAUUUAAAGAGUGCGUAAUAGCUCACUAGUCGAGUGACACUGCGCCGAAAAUGUACCGGGGCUAAACAUAUUACCGAAGCUGUGGAUUGUCCUUUGGACAAUGGUAGGAGAGCGUUCUAAGGGCGUUGAAGCAUGAUCGUAAGGACAUGUGGAGCGCUUAGAAGUGAGAAUGCCGGUGUGAGUAGCGAAAGACGGGUGAGAAUCCCGUCCACCGAUUGACUAAGGUUUCCAGAGGAAGGCUCGUCCGCUCUGGGUUAGUCGGGUCCUAAGCUGAGGCCGACAGGCGUAGGCGAUGGAUAACAGGUUGAUAUUCCUGUACCACCUAUAAUCGUUUUAAUCGAUGGGGGGACGCAGUAGGAUAGGCGAAGCGUGCGAUUGGAUUGCACGUCUAAGCAGUAAGGCUGAGUAUUAGGCAAAUCCGGUACUCGUUAAGGCUGAGCUGUGAUGGGGAGAAGACAUUGUGUCUUCGAGUCGUUGAUUUCACACUGCCGAGAAAAGCCUCUAGAUAGAAAAUAGGUGCCCGUACCGCAAACCGACACAGGUAGUCAAGAUGAGAAUUCUAAGGUGAGCGAGCGAACUCUCGUUAAGGAACUCGGCAAAAUGACCCCGUAACUUCGGGAGAAGGGGUGCUCUUUAGGGUUAACG
rnacentral:rRNA from 1 species